AUUGAACGCUAGCGGGAUGCUUAAUACAUGCAAGUCGAACGAGUGGCGGACGGGUGCAUAAUAUAUCGGAACGUGCCCAGUCGAUGGGUAUGACUACUAGAAAGAGUGGCUAAUAGCGCAUACUGUUCGAGCGGCCGAUAUCGGAUUAGCUAGUUGGUGGGGUAAAGGAUCACCAAGGCAACGAUCCGUAGCAGGUUUGAGAGGACGACCAGCCACACUGGGACUGAGACACGGCCCAGACUCCUACGGGAGGCAGCAGUGGGGAAUUUUCGACAAUGGGGGAAACCCUGAUCCAGCCAUCCCGCGUGUAUGAGAAGGCCUUCGGGUUGUAAAGUACUUUUGGCAGAGAAGCGGUAUCUGCAGAAUAAGCACCGGCUAACUACGUGCCAGCAGCCGCGGUAAUAC
rnacentral:rRNA from 1 species